AUACAUGCAAGUCGAACGAGAAAGUCACUUCGGUGGCGAGUACAGUGGCGCACGGGUGAGUAACGCGUAGAUGAUCUACCCUUCAGUCUGGGACAACUCUUGGAAACGGGAGCUAAUACCGGAUAAAACCUUCGGGUUGAAAGAUUUAUCGCUGGGGGAUGAGUCUGCGUACCAUUAGCUUGUUGGUGGGGUAACGGCUUACCAAGGCGACGAUGGUUAGCGGGUCUGAGAGGACGAUCCGCCACACUGGAACUGAGACACGGUCCAGACUCCUACGGGAGGCAGCAGUAGGGAAUAUUGCGCAAUGGGGGCAACCCUGACGCAGCAAUGCCGCGUGAGUGAAGAAGGCCUUCGGGUCGUAAAGCUCUUUUAUGGGGGAAGAUGAUGACGGUACCCCAUGAAUAAGCACCGGCUAACUACGUGCCAGCAGCCGCGGUAAUACGUAGGGUGCGAGCGUUGUUCGGAAUUACUGGGCGUAAAGGGCGUGCAGGCGGAUUGGCAAGCCGGAGGUGAAAGCCCGGGGCUCAACCCCGGAGGGUCUUUCGGAACUGCCAGUCUUGAGAGGGUCAGGGGCCAGCGGAAUUCCUGGUGUAGAGGUGAAAUUCGUAGAGAUCAGGAGGAACACCGGCGGCGAAAGCGGCUGGCUGGGGCCACUCUGACGCUGAGGCGCGAAAGCGUGGGGAGCAAACAGGAUUAGAUACCCUGGUAGUCCACGCCGUAAACGAUGGGCACUAAGCGUCCGACGGGUUCGACCCUGUUGGGUGCUGCAGUUAACGCGUUAAGUGCCCCGCCUGGGGAGUACGG
rnacentral:rRNA from 1 species